rnacentral:rRNA from 1 species
CAACCGGGGCAUUGCCUUAGUAGCGGCGAGUGAAGCGGCAAAAGCUCAAAUUUGAAAUCUGGCUCUUUCAGAGUCCGAGUUGUAAUUUGAAGAAGGUAUCUUUGGGUCUGGCUCUUGUCUAUGUUUCUUGGAACAGAACGUCACAGAGGGUGAGAAUCCCGUGCGAUGAGAUGAUCCAGGCCUAUGUAAAGUUCCUUCGAAGAGUCGAGUUGUUUGGGAAUGCAGCUCUAAGUGGGUGGUAAAUUCCAUCUAAAGCUAAAUAUUGGCGAGAGACCGAUAGCGAACAAGUACAGUGAUGGAAAGAUGAAAAGAACUUUGAAAAGAGAGUGAAAAAGUACGUGAAAUUGUUGAAAGGGAAGGGCUUGAGAUCAGACUUGGUAUUUUGUAUGUUACUUCUUCGGGGGUGGCCUCUACAGUUUAUCGGGCCAGCAUCAGUUUGGGCGGUAGGAGAAUUGCGUUGGAAUGUGGCACGGCCUCGGUUGUGUGUUAUAGCCUUCGUCGAUACUGCCAGCCUAGACUGAGGACUGCGGUUUAUACCUAGGAUGUUGGCAUAAUGAUCUUAAGUCGCCCGUCUUGAAACCACGGAC